rnacentral:rRNA from 1 species
AUGAACGCUAGCUACAGGCUUAACACAUGCAAGUCGAGGGGCAUCAUGCUUAUAGCAAUAUAAGUGAUGGCGACCGGCGCACGGGUGAGUAACACGUAUCCAACCUGCCGAUAACUCGGGGAUAGCCUUUCGAAAGAAAGAUUAAUACCCGAUGGCAUAAUAGAACCGCAUGGUUUGAUUAUUAAAGAAUUUCGGUUAUCGAUGGGGAUGCGUUCCAUUAGGCAGUUGGUGGGGUAACGGCCCACCAAACCUUCGAUGGAUAGGGGUUCUGAGAGGAAGGUCCCCCACAUUGGAACUGAGACACGGUCCAAACUCCUACGGGAGGCAGCAGUGAGGAAUAUUGGUCAAUGGACGAGAGUCUGAACCAGCCAAGUAGCGUGAAGGAUGACUGCCCUAUGGGUUGUAAACUUCUUUUAUAUGGGAAUAAAGUGGUCCACGUGUGGAUUUUUGUAUGUACCAUAUGAAUAAGGAUCGGCUAACUCCGUGCCAGCAGCCGCGGUAAUACGGAGGAUCCGAGCGUUAUCCGGAUUUAUUGGGUUUAAAGGGAGCGUAGGUGGACAGUUAAGUCAGUUGUGAAAGUUUGCGGCUCAACCGUAAAAUUGCAGUUGAUACUGGCUGUCUUGAGUACAGUAGAGGUGGGCGGAAUUCGUGGUGUAGCGGUGAAAUGCUUAGAUAUCACGAAGAACUCCGAUUGCGAAGGCAGCUCACUGGACUGCAACUGACACUGAUGCUCGAAAGUGUGGGUAUCAAACAGGAUUAGAUACCCUGGUAGUCCACGCCGUAAACGAUGAAUACUAGGUGUUGGGAAGCAUUGCUUCUCGGUGCCGUCGCAAACGCAGUAAGUAUUCCACCUGGGGAGUACGUUCGCAAGAAUGAAACUCAAAGGAAUUGACGGGGGCCCGCACAAGCGGAGGAACAUGUGGUUUAAUUCGAUGAUACGCGAGGAACCUUACCCGGGCUUAAAUUGCAUUUGAAUAUAUUGGAAACAGUAUAGCCGUAAGGCAAAUGUGAAGGUGCUGCAUGGUUGUCGUCAGCUCGUGCCGUGAGGUGUCGGCUUAAGUGCCAUAACGAGCGCAACCCUUAUCUUUAGUUACUAACAGGUCAUGCUGAGGACUCUAGAGAGACUGCCGUCGUAAGAUGUGAGGAAGGUGGGGAUGACGUCAAAUCAGCACGGCCCUUACGUCCGGGGCUACACACGUGUUACAAUGGGGGGUACAGAAGGCCGCUACCUGGUGACAGGAUGCUAAUCCCAAAAGCCUCUCUCAGUUCGGAUCGAAGUCUGCAACCCGACUUCGUGAAGCUGGAUUCGCUAGUAAUCGCGCAUCAGCCAUGGCGCGGUGAAUACGUUCCCGGGCCUUGUACACACCGCCCGUCAAGCCAUGAAAGCCGGGGGUACCUGAAGUACGUAACCGCAAGGAGCGUCCUAGGGUAAAACUGGUAAUUGGGGCU